rnacentral:rRNA from 1 species
GAUGAACGCUGGCGGCGUGCCUAAUACAUGCAAGUCGAACGGCAGCGGGGGCUUCGGCCCGCCGGCGAGUGGCGAACGGGUGAGUAAUGCAUCGGAACGUGCCCAGUCGUGGGGGAUAACACAUCGAAAGAUGUGCUAAUACCGCAUACGUCCUGAGGGAGAAAGCGGGGGAUCUUCGGACCUCGCGCGAUUGGAGCGGCCGAUGUCGGAUUAGCUAGUUGGUGGGGUAAAAGCCCACCAAGGCGACGAUCCGUAGCGGGUCUGAGAGGAUGAUCCGCCACACUGGGACUGAGACACGGCCCAGACUCCUACGGGAGGCAGCAGUGAGGAAUAUUGGUCAAUGGACGCAAGUCUGAACCAGCCACGUCGCGUGAAGGAAGACGGCCCUACGGGUUGUAAACUUCUUUUAUACGGGAUAAAGUGCCCCACGUGGGGGUUUUGCAAGUACCGUAUGAAUAAGGAUCGG